CAGUAGCCACGGGAAUACGAAGGGGGCUAGCGUUGUUCGGAUUUACUGGGCGUAAAGCGCACGUAGGCGGACUUUUAAGUCAGGGGUGAAAUCCCGGGGCUCAACCCCGGAACUGCCUUUGAUACUGGAAGUCUUGAGUAUGGUAGAGGUGAGUGGAAUUCCGAGUGUAGAGGUGAAAUUCGUAGAUAUUCGCAAGAACACCAGUGGCGAAGGCGGCUUACUGGCUCGAAACUGACGCUGAGGCGCGAAAGCGUGGGGAGCAAUCAGGAUUAGAUACCCCCGUAGUCCCUGUCUCUUAUAC
rnacentral:rRNA from 1 species